rnacentral:rRNA from 1 species
AUCUAUAACCAUAAUACCCUGAAUGUGCCUGAUCUCAGCUGAUCUGGGAAGCUAAGCAGGUCAGGCCUGGUUGGCCUAACCUAAGAAAAAACUUAAUAUGACUUAGAUAACAUAGGAU